UACGGAGGGUGCGAGCGUUGUCCGGAAUCACUGGGCGUAAAGGGCGCGUAGGUGGCGCGGCAAGUCAACGGUGAAAGCUCGACGCUCAACGUCGAGUCGGCCGUCGAUACUGCUGGGCUUGGAGCACUGUAGAGGCAGAUGGAAUUCCGGGUGUAGCGGUGGAAUGCGUAGAGAUCCGGAAGAACACCGGUGGCGAAGGCGGUCUGCUGGGCAGUAGCUGACACUGAGGCGCGACAGCGUGGGGAGCAAACAGG
rnacentral:rRNA from 1 species